ensembl:lncRNA
UUGCUAACCGUUCAUAUUGAUUAUGCUGGACCCUGAGUUUCAUCACUUUCUAACUGAAUUUAGGUAAAGUUAUUUAGUCUUUCUAGCCUUAUCUUCAUCUUUAAAUUGAGGAUCAUUAUGGUUCUGAGGAUUUGAUUAGAUAAUGCAUGUAAAAUGGCAUAGUCAACAAGUUGGAGCUGUUGAUGUUUUAUGUAAGUCAUUUAUUUGAAUUUUAUAAGGAAGGGGAGAAAAGUUCCAGUGGAGAGACUUCAGAAGAUCUGAGUCUCAUGUACAACCAGCUCGUCAUGCUCCAUCUUCUUCAUUUCCCUUUUCCCAAUCAUCAAGUGGCUAGGCCAUGUCCACCCCUCUAACUUCACAGAGCCAUUCCUUUAUGAUGAUAUUGGUAGAGGCUGUCUUUUCCAAGCCGCAGUCCCUUUAGUGUUGACAUGACAACUGCAAAUGCCCAGAGAGUUUAAGGCAAUGAGAGAAUUGGACCAGAUGGGUGAUAGUGGCUGGAGACCUCAGCCAGCCUGGAGCCUGGCUCUGUGCCCACAGUUUAGCAGCUACUCAGCCCCCACCGAGACUUGCCAGGAGACCCCAAGGCCCAGGGUGGUCAAAUCUCUGGAAUCUUCAAGAGAAGCGGAAGUACUGAUUUGUUUAUCUCCUAAAUCGUGUAAGUUGACAGUGAAGUAUUUAGAAAGUUAAACCUUAUUCAAGUUAACUGUGCAUGUCUGUGGGCGUUAAUUGGCCUGUGGUCCAAUAUUUAGGAUCUCUCUCACAAGAAAAAACCAUUUCUAGUAGCUCCAUGAAUUAAGUAGCCCCAGGGUACUUAGUAGCAGCGCUGGGACCAAGAUUCAAAUGGUAGGCAACCGGGCUCUUAAUUGCUGGGUUUUCUUGUGUAUAGUGCUUUGUGAUAUUGAUGCUUCCAGAAGAAGGAGAAAUGUGCCUUUGUGAUCAUUUUUAAAUUAAGAGAAAAUUUUGAAUGAUUUAGAUCAGCACACCCCUCUCCCCAGUUCUUAAAAAAUCUGGGCUUCACACUUGGAAAGGAGGGGACACAGCUGAUGUGGGUAUCUGACUUCUUGGGCUAGGUUCUUCUGAAAUAAGUUGAACUGAAAGCCCCCAUUGUGUAAACUCCCAGCCCCCCUGCCCCGAGUGAGAAGUCAUGAGCAAGUCUUGAGUCUCCACAUCUCCAGAGGCCAAUGGAGGAAAACUCUUCAUUAACAAUGCAUUGAUUUGUGACUGCACUUUUAUAAAAAGAACAGCUUUAAUAGAGGCCUCUGCAGCCUUUUUUUUUUUUGAAGUGCAGUGUGUUGGAUUACUUGCAAAGCACUGAAGAGGAAUUAACUUUUAGAUGGGUACAAGGAAUCUUCCGAUGUGUUGCUAGCACUUUUUUUUUUUUUCAAUUGAGUAUAUAGGUGAAAAGAAUGUUACAUUUCAGGGAGGAUUAUCAGGAAAGAGAAUUUCUUCUCAGUUGAUGAAACACAGCCCAAAGAGGGGAAAAUCUUUCACCUAGCUCUGACUUUAAUUAUUCCAUAUGAUGAAAAAAGUUCCUCCGUUUCUGCCUGAAAAAGAAAGUGAAAACUUGUCAUUUUAGUCUUGCACUAGAAAAUUUAUAAAUAUGUUUAAGAGAGGAAAACAGAGCUAGGUAGAAAUGUUCAUCAGACAAG